GAUGAACGCUGGCGGCGUGCCUAACACAUGCAAGUCGAACGGUAAGGCCCUGCCUUUGUGGGCUGCUCGAGUGGCGAACGGGUGAGUAACACGUGAGUAACCUGCCCUUGACUGUGGGAUAACUUCUGGAAACUGGGGCUAAUACCGGAUAGGAGCUCCUGCUGCAUGGUGGGGGUUGGAAAGUUUCGGCGGUUGGGGAUGGACUCGCGGCUUAUCUGCUUGAUGGUGGGGUAGAGGCUUACCAAGGCUUUGACGGGUAGCCGGCCUGGGAGGGUGACCGGCCCCAUUGGGACUGAGGUAGGGCCCAGAGUGCAACGGGGGGCAGGGGUGGGAAUUAUUGCGCAAUGGGCCGAAGCCGGAUGCAGCGACGCCGCGUGCGGAAUGUCGGCUUUCGGGUUAUAAACCGCGUUCGCCUGUGACGAAGCCUGAGUGACGGUAAUGGGUAAAGAAGCACCGGCUAACUACGUG
rnacentral:rRNA from 1 species